rnacentral:rRNA from 1 species
UACAGUGGCGUACGGGUGAGUAACACGUGGGUAAUCUACCUCUUAGUGAGGAAUAACCCUGGGAAACCGGGGCUAAUACCGCAUAAGCCUGAGAAGGGAAAGUCGAAAGACGCUGAGAGAGGAGCCCGCGGCCGAUUAGCUAGUUGGUGAGGUAAGAGCUCACCAAGGCAUAGAUCGGUAGCCGGCCUGAGAGGGCACACGGCCACACUGGCACUGAAACACGGGCCAG